rnacentral:pre_miRNA from 1 species
UGUGUACUCCCUCCGUUCCAAAAUACUUGACUUCCAUUUGUCCAAAAAUGGAUGUACCUAUAUACUAAAACAUGUCUAGAUACAUAUAUAUUUUGACAAAUAGAAGGCAUGUAUUGUGCAACGGNCCUAUAUACUAAAACAUGUCUAGAUACAUAUAUAUUUUGACAAAUAGAAGGCAUGUAUUGUGCAACGGAGGGAGUAGAAU